rnacentral:rRNA from 1 species
AAGACCUUGCACUUUUGGAGCGGCCGAUGUCUGAUUAGCUAGUUGGUGGGGUAAUGGCCUACCAAAGCUUCGAUCAGUAGCUGGUCUGAGAGGACGGCCAGCCACACUGGGACUGAGACACGGCCCAGACUCCUACGGGAGGCAGCAGUGGGGAAUUUUGGACAAUGGGGGCAACCCUGAUCCAGCCAUGCCGCGUGAGUGAAGAAGGCCUUCGGGUUGUAAAGCUCUUUCAGCCGGAACGAAACGGUUACGGUUAAUACCCGUGAUUACUGACGGUACCGGAAGAAGAAGCACCGGCUAACUACGUGCCAGCAGCCGCGGUAAUACGUAGGGUGCGAGCGUUAAUCGGAAUUACUGGGCGUAAAGCGUGCGCAGGUGGUUUUGUAAGUCAGAUGUGAAAUCCCCGGGCUUAACCUGGGAACU